rnacentral:rRNA from 1 species
GAUGAACGCUAGCGGCAGGCUUAACACAUGCAAGUCGAGGGGUAGGUUACUUCGGUAAUUGAGACCGGCGCACGGGUGCGUAACGCGUAUACAAUCUACCUUUUACAGAGGGAUAGCCCAGAGAAAUUUGGAUUAAUACCUCAUAGUAUUUUUGAAUCGCAUGAUUUGAUUAUUAAAGUUCCAACGGUAAAAGAUGAGUAUGCGUCCCAUUAGCUAGAUGGUAAGGUAACGGCUUACCAUGGCUACGAUGGGUAGGGGUCCUGAGAGGGAGAUCCCCCACACUGGUACUGAGACACGGACCAGACUCCUACGGGAGGCAGCAGUGAGGAAUAUUGGACAAUGGGCGGCAAGCCUGAUCCAGCCAUGCGCGUGCAGGAUGACGGUCCUAUGGAUUGUAAACUG